rnacentral:rRNA from 1 species
UACGGGGGGGGCAAGCGUUGUUCGGAAUCAUUGGGCGUAAAGGGCGCGUAGGCGGCCUGCCAAGUCGGGUGUGAAAUCCCUCGGCUCAACCGAGGAACUGCACUCGAUACUGGCUGGCUAGAGUCCGGGAGGGGAUGGUGGAAUUCCCAGUGUAGCGGUGAAAUGCGUAGAUAUUGGGAAGAACACCGGUGGCGAAGGCGGCCAUCUGGACCGGAACUGACGCUGAGGCGCGAAAGCCAGGGGAGCGAAUGGG